rnacentral:rRNA from 1 species
GGGCAACUACCCGAUAUGCCGCAAGGUGAAACCUAAUUGGCCUGAAGAAGAGCUUGCGUCUGAUUUUUUAGUUGGUGGGGUAAGAGCCUACCAAGGCGACGAUCAGUGGCUGGCCUGAGAGGAUGAGCAGCCCCCCUGGGACUGAGACACGGCCCACACUCCUACGGGAGGAAGCNGUGGGGAAUUUUCCGCAAUGGGCGAAAGCNUGACGGAGCAACGCCGCGUGAGGGAGGAAGGCUUUGGAUUGUAAACCUCUUUUCUCAAGGAAGAAGUUCUGACGGUACUUUGAGGAAUUUGCCUCGGCUAACUCCGUGCCAGCAGCCGCGGGAAUAC